GAUGAACGCUAGCGACAGGCUUAACACAUGCAAGUCGAGGGGCAGCAUAAAAGUAGCAAUACUUUGGUGGCGACCAGCGCACGGGUGAGUAACGCGUAUGCAACCUACCUAUCAGAGGGGAAUAACCCGGCGAAAGUCGGACUAAUACCGCAUAAAGCAGGGGCACCGCAUGGUGAUAUUUGUUAAAGAAAUUCGCUGAUAGAUGGGCAUGCGUUCCAUUAGGUAGUUGGUGAGGUAACGGCUCACCAAGCCGACGAUGGAUAGGGGAACUGAGAGGUUGGUCCCCCACACUGGUACUGAGACACGGACCAGACUCCUACGGGAGGCAGCAGUGAGGAAUAUUGGUCAAUGGGCGGGAGCCUGAACCAGCCAAGUCGCGUGAAGGAAGAAGGAUCUAUGGUUCGUAAACUUCUUUUGCAGGGGAAUAAAGUGCAGGACGUGUCCUGUUUUGUAUGUACCCUGAGAAUAAGGAUCGGCUAACUCCGUGCCAGCAGCCGCCGUAAUAC
rnacentral:rRNA from 1 species